CUGAAGUGUGGAAAAUUGAAAGAAUUCGAAAAGUGAAAUCAAUAUUCAGCCUAAGUUAACAAUGUUUUUGAACCUGAAAGAUGAAAGAACUUGAUGCAUGUUUUGUAAAUAGUGAAUCUCAAAUGAAUCCAAGAACUUUGAGUCGUCAUUACACUUUCUUUCCGAUUUUGAUAAUGGGGAGCGGCAGUUUGAACACAUCAACUAAAUAACAUUUUCUACAUCUACAAUCAAUUGUGUUUGUCCUGAGGUUUUUGUUUGAUUUUUCUAGGUGAUAUUGCAGACAUACCAUUUUGCAAGUACUUACCUACCUGAGCAGCUGAGCUCUUCCUUUCUGUGGUUCCUUUCAAUUGAUUCAUUUGAGUUAAAUCCCUCGCCACUGUUCCAGAUCUUACCCACUAGUGGAAUAUGCAGAGAGAUGUUCAACUUAUAACAGGUUAGCCCUUCGCCAUUGUGCUACAAUUUGAAGAAGUUGACGGUUACAGAAGAGUUGGCUUUCGAUCAAUAUCAAUAAAUUAUGUAGAUGUAGAUAAAUUACAAGUGUAUAUCUGGGCUCCCUUCUUUUCUGUGGGCCCGUUUCCCUAACUAA
rnacentral:lncRNA from 1 species